GAUAAACGCUGGCGGCGUGCCUAACACAUGCAAGUCGAACGCCCUUAGCAAUAAGGGAGUGGCGGACGGGUGAGGAACACGUGGGUCACCUACCCUUUGGUGAGGAAUACCGGCGAGAAAUCGCCGACAAUACCGCAUAUGCUUCGCAAGAAGCAAAGCUCGCAAGAGCGCCAGAGGACGGGCCUGCGUCCGAUUAGCCAGUUGGUGGGGUAACGGCCUACCAAAGCGACGAUCGGUAGCUGGUCUGAGAGGACGAUCAGCCACACUGGGAUCGAGAACGGCCCAGACUCCUACGGGGGGCAGCAGUGAGGAAUUUUCGGCAAUGGGGGAAACCCUGACCGAGCAACGCCGCGUGCAGGAUGACGGCCUUCGGGUUGUAAACUGCUUUUCUUUGGGACGAGAUCGGACGGUACCAGAGGAACAAGCCCCGGCUAACUACGUGCCAGCAGCCGCAGUAAGAC
rnacentral:rRNA from 1 species